ACUGCGUCGGGAUUAGUGUGUGCUUCACCUCACUGCAUGUUCACUGAGCUGAGAUGAGCAUGCACAUGUGUUGAGCCAGUAGCGGCUGUGCAGGAUGUCCGGAGGGCUUAAAAUCGUCCACACAUUCAGUCAAUCCGGCCUGUCCAUCCCGUCCAAAUGCACAGCUCUUAGUUAAAGGAAAAUAUGGGACAGGAGUUAUCUAAACAUGGCAGGAGCACAGAAAACUGAUUACUGGUAGAGCAGGAGAAGGAGAGGAGAGGGAGGCAACAUGACUUUAUUGUCAUUCAGCUGAUUUACUUUCCUCUCAGUUUGGGCUUUCUCCCGUAAUGGACUCUGUCAUCUUCAGGCAAAACAGAGCAGAGACCAACAUGGAAGCAAUUAAACGGUUAUUCCACCCCAACUUGUCCCGGUCCAGGCAUUUUGGGCUUAUAUGCAGUGCUAGCUUGUGUGUGUGUGUGUGUGUGUAUCUUUCCUUUUCACUCUGUGUGAGUGCAUGUGUCUAAGAAUGUAUGUGUGAUCACUAUCUUUCUCCUAUAUGUAACUAUGUCCUCUCAACAAAGAGUUGUUUGAGUCUGUGAGAGUAUAUAUCCCUUUCCCAUCCCUUUGCACUAGCAUGUGCAUGUGUUUGUGUGUGUAUCUCUCUCUUCUCUGAGCGUAUGUGUGUGUGUGUGUGUGUGUGUGUGUGUGUCUGUUCCCCUCCGGCUCGUGAGCCUCUAUCCAGGGAGAGCCAUAAAUAAGGUCAGAGAGGGUCAGCUGAUGCCUCCAUCCUGAACGGCUAAUUAAAACCACCGGUGUUGGACGGCAGGGAGCCCGGCUGGCACGCAUCCGCUCCGGAUGCGGACGAUGACAAGACAAAAGAGGAAGCCAGGGACCCCAGGCGACAGGACUGCAUGUCAAUGGGCAUCUUCUCCUGCAGUGAAAAGGGGCUUCAGAGAAACAGAGAGGCCUUCUGCCCCAGCUGGAGACCGGCUGCAAAGUGCCAUGGCAGCAGGGCAGAGACUGCAUGGACGGGCAGGAAGGAGGAGAGAAGUGGAGUGAAAAAGUGGCGGAUAACUUCAAGAAUGCAAUUAAGGCUAAUCAGGUUAUCCAGCUGGUCGAACUCCCACCCAGCUAGUGGUCUUUCACAGUCUCUUCCCACACUGAAUACACUUCACACAGAGAUCUGACUGUGGCUCUGAGGCCGUCAAAGCUUCUAAAAGGGACACCUCAACAUAGGAAGAAAAGCCUCAAACAGCCUUUGCCCCCAAAAGCGCCAGGCUUAAACAAGGGAAGCGUCUGCCACUCCCCUCUACGCCAGACAGCGGGUGCAGAGAGGUCGAUCUGAAUCCAUGCCCCAUCCCUCACCACAUUCCCACAGCAAGGUCCCCCAGUGAUAAAUCACCCCGCAGCCAACAAAAAGGUGGACGAGCAGCAGGAAGGAGCCCACAAAAGAUCAGCUGGGCCUGGAGGGUGUGUGUGUGUGUGUGUGUGUCGGGCAUGGGGUGUUAUACUCAGCUCACAGGGCACCCCAACCCUGGUUUCUGACAUGGGAGUGUUUCUAAGCUGUGCAUCAGAUCUGCAAGUCCAGUCUGAAAAUAAAAAGUGGAGUUCUGGAAUACACCGUCAACACACACACAUAAUUGCAUUUCCCUGGUUUUGUACCUGCACUGAA